rnacentral:rRNA from 1 species
AACCUCCGCAAUGUGAGAAAUCGCGACGGGGGGAUCCCAAGUGCCAUUCUUAACGGGAUGGCUUUUCAUUAGUGUAAAGAGCUUUUGGAAUAAGGGCUGGGCAAGACCGGUGCCAGCCGCCGCGGUAACACCGGCAGCUCUAGUGGUAGCAGUUUUUAUUGGGCCUAAAGCGUCCGUAGCCGGUUUAAUAAGUCUCUGGUGAAAUCCUGUAGCUUAACUGUGGGAAUUGCUGGAGAUACUAUUAGACUUGAGACCGGGAGAGGUUAGAGGUACUCCCAGGGUAGAGGUGAAAUUCUGUAAUCCUGGGAGGACCGCCUGUUGCGAAGGCGUCUAACUGGAACGGUUCUGACGGUGAGGGACGAAAGUUAGGGGCGCGAACCGGAUUAGAUACCCGGGUAGUCCUAACUGUAAACGAUGCGGACUUGGUGUUGGGGUGGCUUUGAGCUGCUCCAGUGCCGAAGGGAAGCUGUUAAGUCCGCCGCCUGGGAAGUACGGUCGCAAGACUGAAACUUAAAGGAAAG